rnacentral:rRNA from 1 species
CCUACGGGAGGCUGCAGUGAGGAAUAUUGGUCAAUGGGCGCGAGCCUGAACCAGCCAAGUCGCGUGAGGGAAGACGGCCCUACGGGUUGUAAACCUCUUUUGCCGGGGAGCAACGGGCGCCACGUGUGGCGCCACUGAGAGUACCCGGAGAAAAAGCAUCGGCUAACUCCGUGCCAGCAGCCGCGGUAAUACGGAGGAUGCGAGCGUUAACCGGAUUUAUUGGGUUUAAAGGGUGCGUAGGCGGAGGGUUAAGGCAGUGGGCAAAUUGAGGGGCUAAACCCCUUCCCGCCAUUGAAACUGGCGCUCUUGAGUGGAAGAGAAGUAUGCGGAAUGCGUGGUGUAGCGGUGAAAUGCAUAGAUAUCACGCAGAACCCCGAUUGCGAAGGCAGCAUGCCGGCUUCCGACUGACGCUGAAGCACGAAAGCGUGGGGAUCGAACAGGAUUAGAUACCCUUGUAGUC